UACGAAGGGGGCUAGCGUUGCUCGGAAUCACUGGGCGUAAAGGGUGCGUAGGCGGGUCUUUAAGUCAGGGGUGAAAUCCUGGAGCUCAACUCCAGAACUGCCUUUGAUACUGAGGAUCUUGAGUUCGGGAGAGGUGAGUGGAACUGCGAGUGUAGAGGUGAAAUUCGUAGAUAUUCGCAAGAACACCAGUGGCGAAGGCGGCUCACUGGACAAGUAUUGACGCUGAGGUGCGAAAGCGUGGGGAGCAAACAGG
rnacentral:rRNA from 1 species